GCUGCCUCUAGAAAAAAUUUUUGCCCCCUCUGCAAGGGGAUUCCCUACUUCAAUUUUUAUCUUUUAAGCUCCAAGCCAGGACAGCUGGAGAGUACAAACUCCAGGAGAGGGCCAUAUUGUUUUUGAGAGCCUUUUGUCUUGGGGCUUUUGCGGUCCGGUGUAAGUCGUCCCGCACUCCGGUCCCGCCUCGGAGCCUCCCUGCUCCAGCCUCUCCCAGCGUCGCUGGUGCCACCUGUGCGCUGCUGCGCGUGCCACAGCUCUUCGGAGCCCCUUUUGUCCUGCAGUAGGCCCUGCAAGAAGUCCUGGCGGGGCUCGGGGUAGUAGGGGGUGGGGAGAUGAACGCUGCGGCCAGCAGCUACCCCAUGGCCUCCUUAUACGUGGGCGAUCUGCACUCCGAUGUCACCGAAGUCAUGCUGUAUGAAAAGUUCAGCCCUGUGGGGCCUGUGCUGUCCAUCCGGGUCUGCCGCGAUAUGAUCAUCCGCCGCUCUCUGGGUUAUGCCUACGUCAACUUCCAGCAGCCAGCUGACGCUGAGAGGGCCUUGGACACCAUGAACUUUGAUGUGAUUAAGGGGAAGCCAAUCCGGAUCUGUGGUCUCAGAGGGACCCCUCUUUGAGGAAGUCUGGUGUGGGAAAUGUCUUCAUCAAGAGCCUGGACAAGUCUAUAGACAACAAGGCACUGUAUGACACUUUCUCUGCCUUCGGAAACAUCCUGUCCUGUAAGGUGGUCUGUGAUGAGAACGGCUCUAAGGGUUAUGCCUUUGUCCACUUCGAGACCCAAGAGGCUGCCAACAAGGCCAUCGAGAAGAUGAAUGGCAUGCUCCUCAAUGACCGCAAAGUGUUCGUGGGCAGAUUCAAGUCUCGCAAAAAGCGGGAAGCCGAGCUUGGAGCCAAGGCCAAGGAAUUCACCAAUGUUUAUAUCAAAAACUUUGGAGAAGAGGUGGAUGACGAGAAUCUGAGGGAGCUAUUCAGCCAGUUUGGUAAGACCUUAAGUGUCAAGGUGAUGAGAGACUGCAGUGGGAAGUCCAAAGGCUUCGGCUUCGUGAGCUAUGAGAAACACGAGGAUGCCAGGAAGGCUGUGGAAGAAAUGAAUGGAAAAGAAAUGAGUGGGAAAUCCAUAUUUGUAGGCCGUGCUCAGAAAAAAGUAGAACGUCAGGCGGAGUUAAAACGGAAAUUCGAGCAGCUGAAGCAGGAGAGCUGAAGCGGUACCAGGGAGUGAAUCUCUACAUUAAGAACUUGGAUGACACCAUUGACGAUGAGAAGUUAAGGAAAGAGUUCUCACCCUUUGGAUCAAUCACCAGUACGAAGGUGAUGCUGGAAGACGGGAGAAGCAAAGGGUUUGGCUUUGACUGUUUCUCCUCUCCUGAAGAGGCAACCAAAGCGGUCACGGAGAUGAACGGACGCAUUGUGGGCUCCAAGCCUCUGUACGUCGCCCUGGCCCAGAGGAAGGAGGAGUGGAAGGCUCACCUGACUAACCAGUAUAUGCAGCGUGUGGCGGGAAUGAGAGCGCUCCCUGCCAACGCCAUCUUAAAUCAGUUCCAGCCUGCAGCUGGUGGCUACUUUGUGCCGGCAGUGCCACAGGCCCAGGGAAGACCUCCAUAUUACACACCUAAUCAAUUAGCGCAAAUGAGGCCUAAUCGACGCUGGCAGCAAGGCGGGAGACCUCAAGGCUUCCAAGGAAUGCCAAGUGCCCUGCGGCAAUCUGGGCCUCGUCCAGCUCUUCGGCAUCUGGCUCCAACUGGUAAUGCUCCGGCCUCUCGUGGCCUUCCUACUACCGCUCAGAGAGUCGGGUCUGAGUGCCCGGACCGCUUGGCUAUGGACUUUGGUGGGGCUGGUGCCGCCCAGCAAGGGCUGACUGACAGCUGCCAGUCUGGAGGCGUCCCUACGGCUGUGCCAAACCUUGCACCUCGUGCUACAGUCGCUGCUGCUGCUCCCAGGGCUGUGGCUCCAUACAAGUAUGCCUCCAAUGUCCGCAGCCCUCACCCUGCCAUUCAGCCGCUGCAGGCCCCCCAGCCUGCAGUCCAUGUCCAGGGUCAAGAGCCCCUGACUGCCUCCAUGCUGGCUGCAGCUCCUCCCCAGGAGCAAAAGCAGAUGCUGGGGGAGCGUUUGUUCCCACUUAUCCAAACAAUGCAUUCAAACCUGGCUGGAAAAAUUACAGGGAUGCUGCUAGAAAUCGACAACUCUGAGCUGCUCCACAUGCUGGAGUCCCCCGAGUCCCUCCGUUCCAAGGUGGAUGAAGCUGUGGCAGUCCUGCAGGCUCAUCAUGCCAAGAAAGAAGCUGCCCAGAAGGAGUCAAAAGCCAAAUAACCCCUCAUGGCAUUCAGCUGAGGUCUGAAGACUUCCUAGUUUGUCUGUGGACCUCCUUCAAGAACCAAGUUACAAAUUCAACAGGUCAUUUUGUAUCAAAAGGUCAAUUAUGAAGCACCUAGAAUUUUUCAAUUAUAAGAAUAUAUUCUCUGGGUUCUGUUGUGGCCCAGAUGAUGGUAACUUUUUUUUCUAUUAUGAGUUCUGUUUUUUUUCCCCUCUCCCAGAAAUUGGUUUUGAUGUACCCAAGACUUAAGUUUCUCAAUAAAGGAAAUAAAGUCUCAAAAAAAAAAAAAAAAGAACAGAGAAA